rnacentral:lncRNA from 1 species
AGUCUUAAGAACUUAGCUUCAUAAAUCAUAUAAAACUAUCCCUUAACUGCUAAAGUUAAUAGAUCCCAUUUAGGUACGCACCCUACUCCUACAAUGAACUUACUGUAGGCAACAUACACCGCAAAGAUCCAUAUGACUAAGGGACCAAGUAAAUGUACAGUCAAACUAUAGCAAUCUCACUAUGAAUAGUCGAGACACC